rnacentral:rRNA from 1 species
UGCCAGCCGCCGCGGUAAUACGGAGGUGGCAAGCGUUGCUCGGAAUUACUGGGCUUAAAGGGCGUGUAGGCGGCGAGAUCAGUCGGAUGUGAAAGCCCUCGGCUUAACCGAGGAAUUGCACUCGAUACUGUCUGGCUUGAGUGCGGGAGGGGAGAGUGGAACUCUAGGUGUAGCGGUGAAAUGCGUAGAUAUCUAGAGGAACGCCGGUGGCGAAAGCGACUCUCUGGCCCGCAACUGACGCUGAGGCGCGAAAGCUAGGGUAGCGAACGGGAUUAGAUA